rnacentral:rRNA from 1 species
UACGUAGGGUGCAAGCGUUAAUCGGAAUUACUGGGCGUAAAGCGUGCGCAGGCGGUUUCGCAAGUCAGAUGUGAAAUCCCCGGGCUCAACCUGGGAACUGCAUUUGUGACUGUAGAGCUGGAGUGCGGCAGAGGGGGAUGGAAUUCCGCGUGUAGCAGUGAAAUGCGUAGAUAUGCGGAGGAACACCGAUGGCGAAGGCAAUCCCCUGGGCCUGCACUGGACGCUCAUGCACGAAAGCGUGGGGAGCAAACAGG